rnacentral:tRNA from 1 species
GGAGGUAUAGCUCAGUGGUAGAGCGCAUGCUUAGCAUGCACAAGGUCUUGGGUUCAAUUCCCAGCACCUCCA